ACACCUCAACUCUCAUGGUCCACCAUGAUGAGCUUGGACUUUGGAGGCGUUGCUGGCCUAACCGUCGGCUCCUCUCAAAUUGAUCAGCUUGCCAGUGUUUGGUGGCAUCACGGGCGUGAUAACUAUCUACCCUCGUGGUUUUCCACCAUGUAACCUUCAGUGAUGGAGGUUCGCUGGAGCUCACAGACGUCUCUCCUCAGGGAGGACAGCUUUUUGAAC
rnacentral:misc_RNA from 1 species